rnacentral:rRNA from 1 species
CCUACGGGCGGCAGCAGUGGGGGAUAUUGCACAAUGGGGGGAACCCUGAUGCAGCGACGCCGCGUGGGUGAAGAAGCGCCUCGGCGCGUAAAGCCCUGUCAGCAGGGAAGAAAAUGACGGUACCUGAAGAAGAAGCCCCGGCUAACUACGUGCCAGCAGCCGCGGUAAUACGUAGGGGGCAAGCGUUAUCCGGAUUUACUGGGUGGAAAGGGGGCGCAGACGGCGAUGCAAGCCAGGAGUGAAAGCCCGGGGCCCAACCCCGGGACUGCUCGUGGAACUGCGUGGCUGGAGUGCAGGAGGGGCAGGCGGAAUUCCUGGUGUAGCGGUGAAAUGCGUAGAUAUCAGGAGGAACACCGGUGGCGAAGGCGGCCUGCUGGGCUGCAACUGACGUUGAGGCCCGAAAGCGUGGGGAGCAAACAGGAGUAGAGACCCCUGUAGUC